rnacentral:tRNA from 1 species
ACUUUCGUAACUUGUGUGAUCAGAGUAUUGAUAUGUAAAGCCAAAGGUUUCGAGUUCGAUUCCCGACGAGAGUG